GAAGCGGCAACAGCUCAAAUUUGAAAUCUGACCCUUCGGGGUCCGAGUUGUAAUUUGCAGAGGGUGUUUCGGGCGCGGUGCCGGUUUAAGUCCUUUGGAACAGGGUGUCAUAGAGGGUGAGAACCCCGUAUGCGACCGGCCGCCAAACCCAUGUGAAACCCCUUCGACGAGUCGAGUUGUUUGGGAAUGCAGCUCAAAAUGGGUGGUAAAUUUCAUCUAAAGCUAAAUACUGGCCAGAGACCGAUAGCGCACAAGUAGAGUGAUCGAAAGAUGAAAAGCACUUUGGAAAGAGAGUCAAACAGCACGUGAAAUUGUUGAAAGGGAAGCGCUUGCGACCAGACCUGCUCGCGGGUGAUCAGCGGUGCUUUUCGCGCCGUGCACUCGUCCGCGAUCAGGCCAGCAUCGGUUCCGGCGGCCGGACAAAGGCUCGGAGAAUGUGGCUCCCUUCGGGGAGUGUUAUAGCUCCUUGUGCAACACGGUCAGCCGGGACCGAGGACCGCGCU
rnacentral:rRNA from 1 species